GAAGCUGACCAGACAGUCGCCGCUUCGUCGUCGUCCUCUUCGGGGGAGACGGGCGGAGGGGAGGAAAGUCCGGGCUCCAUAGGGCAGGGUGCCAGGUAACGCCUGGGGGGGAAACCCACGACCAGUGCAACAGAGAGCAAACCGCCGAUGGCCCGCGCAAGCGGGAUCAGGUAAGGGUGAAAGGGUGCGGUAAGAGCGC
rnacentral:RNase_P_RNA from 1 species